CAGCUUUGUGUGAACGACGUCAUUUUAAACUGAGUGGACCUCAGCAGUGAAUAAGUAAAGAUUUUUUUUUUUGGUUUACGGGUCCCCUGACACAGCCCACACUGCGCUGGCGCACACGCGUGUGCGCGGAGACGGUCUUUAGCUCAGACACCAUUGUUUGGCACUUUUCUCCUGGCCACUGGAGUAUUUGCUCUGUAGAUCCUGCUCCAGGUUGCCAUGGAAACCAGCAUGUUUAUAGGAGGAAGGGAUGGUGGCUGUUCUUUGGGAACAUACAUCGAAGCGGAUCUCUACUCCACAAUUUAUCAUAAUGAUGAACUUACAGCUGACUGACAGACAGCAUCCACUAAAUGAAAAUACAUGUGUGUAAACAGACUGUGCUGACUGGUGUGUCUUGAGGGGUUGGAGGACUAAUUGUGGUCUGCAGUCAGACAUAAUGACUGCUGAGAAUUUGCAUUGAUCAGAAUGGUGCAUUGUUGCUGCAUAUCGUUCAGUGACUUCAUUGGCUUAUGGGCUUUUCACUGUAUUAUCCAAAUGAGGAUGCUUUGCCUGUCACUGUUAUCUAUAAAAUAUACCUGUGAGAUUAUUACCUAAAUGAAAACUUUUAUUUUUGCUACAGGGAAAUUACUGAUUAUGAAUUACUGUGCUCAUUAGAUGAUUGAGAUUGAUCACUUGAGAUUUCAGAUAAAAUAAAUUAUGGUUUUGAAUUUAAAGUAGUAGUGACCUCUGGUGGGAUAACAUUAAAUUACUCUGCUCCCA